UACGUAGGGUGCAAGCGUUAAUCGGAAUUACUGGGCGUAAAGCGUGCGCAGGCGGUUUUGUAAGUCUGACGUGAAAGCCCCGGGCUUAACCUGGGAAUUGCGUUGGAGACUGCAAGGCUUGAAUCUGGCAGAGGGGGGUAGAAUUCCACGUGUAGCAGGUGAAAUGCGUAGAGAUGUGGAGGAACACCGAUGGCGAAGGCAGCCCCCUGGGUCAAGAUUGACGCUCGAUGCACGAAAGCGUGGGGAGCAAACAGG
rnacentral:rRNA from 1 species